UUCUCUUUAAAUUCUUUCUACUUCAUCUCUCUCUAUAUAUAUAUAUCUAAACUAUUAUAGUCUUUAAAUUCUUUCUACUUCAUCUCUCUCUAUAUAUAUAUAUAUCUAAACUGUUAUAGUUUCAUUGAGAGUGCUCAAAUGACUAAUCUCAAUUCUAUCGAGGCAUUUCUGCUACUAUAGCUGCUAUUAUCAAAUAAUAAUUUUCAGCCAUAUAUACUCAUACAAAACCACAGCCAGAGCAUCAACGAAAAGUUCUAAUUUAUGGUUACACUAGGGAGGAGGAUUGUGCAAGUUCCAAAGAGCAAUCUGUUGAAAUGGAUGAGCGACAAGUGUUCGAUGAAAUGACUGAACGCGAUGGUGACUAUGAGGAAGAUGAUCGUGUGGAUUUCAGGUCAAAAUUGAUGAUCCAAAUCCAUUCAUCAAGUGCGCAAUGAGUCGGUUCAUGAUAUGCUUCCCAGGCAGGCAGACAACUCUAUGGUACGGGAGUUCUAUGCAAAUAAAAAGGGAAUUCAUAUUGCCAACAACAAGGUGUUUGACAAAAUUCCAGAAAGAAGGCGCUCAUGAAAUUAGAGUGGCUCGCGAUGAAUGCUUAAAAGAGAAGCCUUAGCCUGGAAUGUUAUGAUUUGCCAUAAUCUACAUGAGAAUUGUUUGUGUUGUGACACGUGAAAGCUAUUCGACGAACUAGAAUACUGGAAAUAAAAUUGAUGUUGUGCAAAUUAUGCAUUGGAAUAAGGAUGAACUAGUUUUGAAAUUGAAUAAACACAAUUCCUCAUAUGCUCAAGAAGAUAGCAAAUUAAUGAGUAGCAAUGAUUUACUGAAGGUUACAUAAGGCACUGAAAUUCUUAAGAAUAAAGGAUCUAAAUUCACCAUUGUGGGAGUAACUGGAAAUACGAACCCCACGACCAAUGUUAAGAAUUUUGGUGAUCAUUUACUCGAUAGCAAUGUUGCAAACGUCAUACUUGUGGUGUCGAAAAGCUCCUUAAACAAAACAGAGUUAACAAUAAGUAAGGAAGAAGUUGUGAUAGUUGUUGAUGGCGGUACGUCUCGAGAUCAUAUGACAAAGCUCAAGUACCAACUAUGGCCCCAUAUUAUCCCAAUUGAGGUUCCAUAGCAUUCCUAUAAUUGGCUGCUUAAGGUGGAGGAUAACAAGGAAUUCAGUAUAAAAAAUGGAGUACUUUUAAUUAUUGUUGGUGCAUUCUUUUGUCAUCCAGACUACAAUGUACAUGUAGGAAGUGGUUGUAUAAUAGAAGAAUGGAAUUAUCAUGUACUUAUUUUUGGCAGAGCGACAGUAUCUAAUUCUUUCAGAUUCAAUGUUCAUCCAGGAGAAAUAUUUGUGCCAACUAGAGCUGAAAAAUGUAAAGAAACUCUCAAGACGAAGUAGUUUCCAAAUGAAAAGCAAAGAAUGAAGAAACCUACAAAGCCAGACAUGGGAGAUCUCAUUGCCUUCACUAUGAUACUAGAAUUUAUUUGAGGUUCUUGGAGUAAUAAAUCAGGUGAAUGGAAGCAGCUGGGUUUCAAAAUUGUAAGAGCUGGAGUGGAAAAGGAUUUCUACAAAUGACUUCCAAAAAUAAUUGUGCAGAGAAGUCGUCACUUGAAAGAAAUUGUGUUUAGUGUGUUUUCAUCUAUUUUUGAUGGAAUUAAUUGUUGCUUUAUAUGGGCUGGAGCAAGGGCACAUUAUUUUCAUUUGGAAUAAUUUUUAGUCCUGCUUCAGUAACAUGUACCUUGCUAUAGCAUUUUCAGAUUGUCCAGUGUUUUUAUUGCUUUGGUUCUUCAGCAU
rnacentral:lncRNA from 1 species